UUCUUCACCCCUUUUAGAUUUUUUUUUCACUGGGCUUGCUAUCCACCAAUCCAGCAGCCUAGCCCUCCGGCAAGCCCCAGGAUCCUCCUGUCUUUGUCUGCUCAGCACUGAGACAACAGGACCACGUUGCCAUGUCUGGGGCUUCAACUGGGUUCUGGGAAUUGAACUUGGGUCCCUGUGCUUGCUGGACUUGGCCUCUCCCAGCCAAUGACUGAGUGUGGAAAGACCUGAGGGUCCUGAGAGGGACCAGACUCUGCUGACGGCUGGCCUGGCUCUGCAGAUUCCUCAGUCAUCUUGAGCCUGGACUCCACGGCAGUUGCAAAGAUCUGGCCUCCCCAGCUCUCCACCCCUAGAGAGAAUUCAUCAUGCUGAGGAAUGCAGGUUACCUGUGUCCAUCCAGUGAAGAAAAUAUGCAUCUUUCCUGUCUUUGCUUUAAGAGCCUUGCCAUGCUAAUCUUCCGUCUCUCCCCAACAAGAGCUCGCAUCCAGUCGGAAUGCUAAAUAAUGUUGUCAUGAGGUUGCAUGGGCACUGGGUAAGAUCUAUGCCUAAACUAUAAUGAAUCUCUCUUCUACAUUACUGUUAUGUGGCCAAAAUUGGUGAGCAGCCCAUCCUCCAGGGAGCAGUGGGAGGAGAGGAGAAUAUUGUGUUGGACUGUAUCCUGGACAUAUCUUCGGCUAGACUCCUGGAGCAGCUUAAAUCAAGGGCUGGGCCGAGCAGGCUUGAAUGGCUUUCAAGUGACAGAUUUAUGGAGGCAGGCCUAAUUAGAUCAUGGUAAUUUGUACUAUGACAAUAUCUUUCGCUCAAGAUCUCAAAGCAAAUUUCUGCCUUGAUAGGUGAACAGCACAAAGGCUCACAAAUGGCAAAGGAUCUUCUUAUUAUCACAGAAAAAAGAAAACACCCGUGGGCAGCCCCAGUGAGAGCUAAUCUUGCAUUUAUAAAACUUUUAUUAAAUGCUUAUUUACAAAGCAUGU